rnacentral:tRNA from 1 species
AGGGGCGUAGCUCAAUUGGUAGAGUAGCGGACUCCAAAUCCGUUGGUUGCGGGUUCGAGCCCUGCCGCCCCUGCCA